rnacentral:rRNA from 1 species
GACGUAGGGCGCGAGCGUUGUCCGGAUUCAUUGGGCGUAAAGGGUGCGUAGGCGGUAGUGCAAGUCAGGUGUGAAAUCCCGGAGCUCAACUCCGGAACUGCACUUGAUACUGCUUUACUAGAGUACUGGAGAGGAGACUGGAAUUUACGGUGUAGCAGUGAAAUGCGUAGAUAUCGUAAGGAAGACCAGUGGCGAAGGCGAGUCUCUGGACAGUUACUGACGCUGAGGCACGAAGGCCAGGGGAGCAAACGGG